UACGAGGGGUGCAAGCGUUGCUCGGAAUUAUUGGGCGUAAAGGGUAGGUAGGUGGUCUCAUUUGUCUGGGGUGAAAGCCUUGAGCUUAACUCAAGAAGUGCCCCAGAAACGGUGAGACUGGAGUCCUGGAGAGGGUCGUGGAAUUCCCGGUGUAGCGGUGAAAUGCGUAGAGAUCAGGAGGAACACCGAUGGCGAAGGCAGCUCUCUGGGUCGGCCCUGACGCUGAGGCGCGAAAGCGUGGGGAGCGAACGGG
rnacentral:rRNA from 1 species